GAACUUGGCAGAGAUGCCUUGGUGCCUUCGGGAACGCUGAGACAGGUGCUGCAUGGCUGUCGUCAGCUCGUGUUGUGAAAUGUUGGGUUAAGUCCCGNAACGAGCGCAACCCUUAUCCUUUGUUGCCAGCGAUUCGGUCGGGAACUCAAAGGAGACUGCCGGUGAUAAACCGGAGGAAGGUGGGGAUGACGUCAAGUCAUCAUGGCCCUUACGAGUAGGGCUACACACGUGCUACAAUGGCGCAUACAAAGAGAAGCGACCUCGCGAGAGCAAGCGGACCUCAUAAAGUGCGUCGUAGUCCGGAUCGGAGUCUGCAACUCGACUCCGUGAAGUCGGAAUCGCUAGUAAUCGUGGAUCAGAAUGCCACGGUGAAUACGUUCCCGGGCCUUGUACACACCGCCCGUCACACCAUGGGAGUGGGUUGCAAAAGAAGUAGGUAGCUUAACCUUCGGGAGGGCGCUUACCACUUUGUGAUUCAUGACUGGGGUGAAGUCGUAACAAGGUAAGCGUAGCGAG
rnacentral:rRNA from 1 species